rnacentral:rRNA from 1 species
UACGUAGGGUGCAAGCGUUAAUCGGAAUUACUGGGCGUAAAGCGUGCGCAGGCGGUGAUGUAAGACAGAUGUGAAAUCCCCGGGCUCAACCUGGGAACUGCAUUUGUGACUGCAUCGCUGGAGUGCGGCAGAGGGGGAUGGAAUUCCGCGUGUAGCAGUGAAAUGCGUAGAUAUGCGGAGGAACACCGGUGGCGAAGGCGACCGCCUGGACGAUGACUGACGCUGAGGCGCGAGAGCGUGGGGAGCAAACAGG